rnacentral:rRNA from 1 species
ANANNCCNCNANGCAGUCAUUGGGUUAGAUCUGCCUCUCUUCGCAAGAAGAGGGUUUCCAUACACACCGNUGAACUGCUGUNCUUCGGCCAUCACAAACUGUUAGUAAUGAAUGUAAUAUCAUAACAAAAACAAAACUUUUAACAACGGAUCUCUUGGCUCUCGCAUCGAUGAAGAACGCAGCGAAAUGCGAUAAGUAAUGUGAAUUGCAGAAUUCAGUGAAUCAUCGAAUCUUUGAACGCACCUUGCGCCCUUUGGUAUUCCGAAGGGCAUGCCUGUUUGAGUGUCAUGAAACCUCACCCCACUUGGGUUUUUGCCUGAGCGGUGGUGUAUUGGGUGUUGCCUUGCUAAAGGCUCGCCUUAAAGACAUAAGCACCUUGGAUGUAAUACGUUUCAUCCUUCUGGGUGGCUGAUAACCCCACAUAUUCAUGAUCUGGCCUCAAAUCAGGUAGGGCUACCCGCUGAACUUAAGCAUAUCAAUAAGCGGAGGAA